UCUCUCUUCCUUUAGACCAAGCACGGGUACGGAGUAGAUGGAGUUAAACACCUUUUAAGUUGACAGAACGAGGAGACAAAUGAUCAGAAGUCCAUUCACUGUUUCGCCGCUCAUGAGGGGGAGAGUCUCUGCAGCAAGUCCCGCGACCUGCUCUUGCCAGAUGCUUCGGACAGACUCUCGCCGUUCUGCUGAAAACGGCUGAUUUUUAUUGAAGAUUACAGGAAUGUUACAUACGUAGUUUGCCAUACACACACGUAAUUCUGCCAUCUGCACCUGCAGACGCACGUCAGCUAAUAGCCUUGUUAAUGAAAGACCAAUUCAUCCCAAGGACAUGCAACCUUGAGAUGAUCAGGACACAUCCUGCAACAUCCUUUGCUAACAAAGACAGUUGUUCUUGUAUUGAGGAACUGAAGGAAGGAACGCUUUCACUCCCUUAUGCAGCUGUUCAGCUUGAGCAGAAAAGGCACAGAGAGGUCUUUGAUAUUAUAACAAGAUUCCAUGAAAAGGCAUAUAAUAAUGUAUUUAUGAUAAUAUAUAAGGGGCAAAAGUGAGAGAUACAUAUUUAAUCAUAUAAAAGAGCUUAUAAUAAUAUAUGAAAGAGCUUAUAUGAGAGAUAUAUAUUUUCAAUCCCCCUUUUGAACUCUUUUAAGAGUUCAAUAAAGAUAUAAGAAAUCAAAACAAUAACACCAAAUUCCAUCAAAAAGAAUCCAAUAAGCAAAGUUUUAAAAUACAAAUACAAACAAUCAAUCAGGUUACAGCUUCUCAUAUUUCCAGCAGUAAACUAAUACAAAAAAAAAACAUGAUCAUAUUUUUAACUGAACAUGUUACAACAUGUAUGGAUCGCAUGCAACUCCAUAUGAGGGCGAAAAACCCUAAUUAUCAUAUGUUUAUAGGGAAAAUUCCCCCAUGUCCCCCCAUUUGUCAUAUCUCAAUUUUGGGGCGAACACCUGUUGGCAUAGAGUGUGCAUGCCUAGGACAUCAAUGAUCAACAAAAAAUAAAACAAAACAAACAAAAAAAUCAUAAAAAUGAACUGGUGAAGGGAUGGUUACAUAAAUCACUGAACAUUCUCACACUCUAACAACAUCUUCUUCAUCAUGAGAGUCAUCACUAUCAUCAGAGAGUUCCCCUCCCAAAUAGAUGUUAGGAUUGGCUAGUAACAAGGGCAUCUGGAUAAUUGGGUCAGCAGGUGGAGGAGAGAUGGCAGUGGUGAUCAAUAUGUGCAUUCAGAAUUGAGUUUGGGAAUGCAAUGAGUGUAAACAUAUAUCUAAUACUAAACAGGUAAAUGAAUAAUAAUAUAAAAUGAGUAGUGGGUAUAAAAUAUAACCCUUGUAAAAUAAAUGAGGGUGUUAAAUAGAACCCUUGUAGAAUGUUCAUAGGGUGGUUACUUCUUCCCCCUGUUGAGGACCCUUCACUGGCUCCAGGCAGCUGCAGGGGGUGAUGAUGUCAUGAUUCUCGCCCUGCAGGAUGUGGUGGCAGCUUGGCAUGCUACUGCAGUCAGCUACUUCUCUUCCUGGUUUUUGGAUCCUUUCUCUGGUUAGGCAGAUGUCAGCUGCUUCUCGUCCUGGUCCUUGGGUACUUUUUCUGGUCAGGCAGAUGUCGGCUGCUUCUCUUCCAGGUUAGGCUCCUCCCGUCCAGCCGGACAGCGUGUGACGUCCUCUCCGUGAUCCUGUAUGGCUCGGUCCACCUCGGUUCCGUCCACUUCCUUUUGGUGACUUUUAGCAGGACCCAGACGCCUGGCACCGAAGACGAAGCCUCUUCGUGUGUGUAGUUUUGGUCCAAUGAAGGCUUUCUCGACUUGUGCAGUCCAAUUGAUCUCGGCAGAUAGUUGGUAGGAAGAUUCACACUCCGGCCGGACCAGAAGUUCCCCGGACCGAUCGCCUAGGGAUUAAAGGUUAUGCACAAAAAUGUCCUAGCUCUUACUGACCCUAGCCUCUGAUACCUUCAACAUCAGACACAUACAGUUACGAACAGCAAGCGCAAUUAAAGGUACAGUGACAUCACGACAUGGACACACAGACACACAAACACAUACACAUGCACAUACACAGAGAGAGAGAGGGAGAGAGUAAGAAUGUGUGUGGGAGAAAGAAAUGUGUGGGAUCCAUUUUGCCACCAGCAUCUCCACCUGUGUCACAGAGAAAAAAUUGCAAAGAAAUUAAAACAUAAAGCAAACAACAAUAAUUCAAUGAGUAUAAAUGAUCAAACUAAAAUAUACAACCAUGCAUGGGUUUUAUAACAGUUCCAGCAACACUGGAGAUGAUGCCUUGUACAAUGAAUUCUUAAGAUGUCCUUCAUUAAUUAGAGGUUAUAACCAAAUUGUUUCAGGAUCCUGAAUUUGAAUUUGAAUUGGUUAAUUUACUCAGAAUAGUCCAAUGUCUUUGUUGAUGUUUCUCAAGGCUCGGCCAUGCCCAUAUAGAUAAAAUAAGCAAACAAACAAGACAAACACAGUCAAACACACGGUCCAUACACGUCUCUGUGCCCUCACACACCAAGCAAAUGUCAGACUGAAGCGAAAGUGUGAAAUACUUAACCUAACGCUAAAUCAGUGGAAAGAAAAAAUAAGACCUAAAGCGUGUAAUCAAAUUAAUCCAACAAAACUUCCCAUAACUGCUGUUCUAAACUCACGUUGCAGUGUGAUCUCUCCAAUUAAAAAUUAGGACAACCACUUUUACUAUCAAUUCAACCAAAUAGUUUCAGGUUGUCCCUUACCUAAACUACCUGUCUUUCUUACCUUCUUUCUUUCUUUCUUUCUUUCUUUCUUUUUUAGGAACACUACUCGCACAAGAAAUCCUAAGAAUUAAUUCACUACUUAAGGUUAAUUCAUAAAUAACGAAACUGCAGUUACAGGUUUGUUUGUGCAUAGUAUUGGUAAUCAGCAGUUUUUUCCUUAUCUCCUCAUCUAGAAGUGUUUCUGUGCUACUCCUCCAUCUAUAACACAAGUUAGUAUCAUCCUUAAAGCAUCUGAAAUUAAGCUGCAUUGCUAAAUCAAUAACGUGAUUUGUGCUAAGAAAUACUCCCCUAUCCUCUUCCUUUUUCCAGUGGCGCUGAAUGACAGAUUUUAGAUCAAUUUAACGUUUUAUCACUAUUACGUUUCAUUUAAUUAAUUUUGCUUUUUCUCUCUUAUUUUUGUCUAUUUAUUUAUUUAUGUUAUUUACUUAUUUAUCAUGCCAUCCUGUGAUGAUAAUCUUAAAGACUUUUUAGCCAAUUGUCGUCAAAAAGGCCAAUUAAAAUAUUAUGUUAAAGAUUUCACAAGAUAAAAAAUGUGUACAUAAUUUUUAUCGAAUGAGGGGUACCAUUUAUUCAAUAUCUUGUAACAUUAUUUACUACCUCACUAUUGUCUCGGAUGAGAUGUUCCAUGAAUCAUUUAGUCAGCUGAAUGCCAAAUUAUUCAUUUAAUGUUUAUUUUUAUGCAAUGAAUGGAAUGGGAUGGAACGUUACUAUAAACUGUCCGGAAAUUUGCGCAUGUUUACUCGAAGGAGAGAACUGUUGAAGCCUAAAGCGUUCUCCUAGACUUAUAAAUAGACACCGUUUCCUUAACCAAUGAAAAUAAGUGAUGACGCUGAUGUAUUCCGUUUUGAAAAGAAAAUAAGGCUUUACUGCAUGUCCGCUGCAGCUGAUAAUCCUAAGACAAUAAAGAUUAUAUUGACGUCCAAUGGUGAGUUGGGCUGAAAUCCAGGUUACUAAUCCUAUUAUUUAUUUAUUUAUUGAUAUUAUUAUUAUCUUUUUUUAGGCUAACUUUCUCAGUUAACUAUGUUCUACAGUAGUUUAGUAAAUUUUCCACAGUUCUGACAUUUCAUCAAUUCAACUGGUUGUUGCCAAAAAGCCUUGUUCAUUACCUGACUGCAGCAAGCACUCUUUUACUGGGUGUAACCAUAGGAAACAGUCUCUUUUGAGCCUUUCUUUGUAAGUCCAGGAUGACCACCGUCAUUGAUUAAAGUUCACAUGUUAGCACACAUGCUCCCCCUUUUGUACUUUGUUUCAUCAGCAGCAGGGCAAAUAAGUUUCUGCCUCUUUGUCCAUCUUGUAGUGCUCCCCGUCUUUAUGUUAUGAGUCACAGCUUUUGGUGAGGGCUUCCAGGUUCUCUUUGGUGAGGGCUUCCAGGUUCUCUUUGUAUAGAAGUCAGAGCCAAACAUUCUUUGCAGCUGGUUGUGACAGGCCCACCCAGUAAAGUUCAUGCCUGCCACAAUGCACAGCAAACGUUUUCCUUAAAUAUGUUGAUUGAGUUAAAAUGACAGAACUUUCUCUUUUACAAAUCAAAAUCAACGAUGGUUUCUAAUAUUUAGUCGACUUUAUUGACUCAAAGGUAAAUCUAGACUACUUCCUAUGCACAAUUUUUCUGAAUCGUCAAGUCGGUUCUACACAGGUUUUAAACUUUAGGCACAAUCUAUCCCAAAUGCAAGAUCCCUCCUUUCAUUUUUUGUUUAUCUAUUUUAUUUUGGGAAAAUAACUACCAGUUUUUAACUCAAAACAGCCUAGUACAGUUUCUAGCCAGGUUACAGGAAAUAAUACUUAGUUUAUCUGUUUUUUCAUUAUUCAGCAUCUCAAAAUCCAGCCAUUAACGUUAAUGGUUCUUAAAGUUGAGGCAAGACAAUUAUUGGAUUUUGUUUUAUAGCAAGAUUUAACAAAUAUUUUAUUUCCUUACUGAUUAUUUGUUAAUUUUAUGGUUUUCAUAAAGAUGAUCCUGAGAGGUUCAGAGCUGCUUUUCGCAGCACCCUGUGCUAUUUUUAGACUGCGGAACUCCUGUGUGUAAAAGUGGGUGGAGUCAGGUCCCCAGGCUGAAACUCCAGUCAUUCUCACUAGAUCUGUCCGAGAGGAAGGAUCUCCUGAAUACCCUAACCAGAAGCCUUAAGUCUCUUGAACUAAAUAACCGUCUAGCAAAAACAUGGACCGCACCCUGUUUCUCAAGCAGCUGCUCCCUCUAUUAAAAACUGAGUCAUUCAGAAGAUCCAGCGAAAGCAGCUCAUGCAAGAAGACACACAUUCACUCAUUCACAAGGCACAGAGACAUUCUUUGUUUGUCACAGUCUCUUUUUAUUAUUAUUAUUAUUUUUUUAAGGUAAGUCAGUUCGUCACUUAUUUAUUCUCUCUCUAUAUAUAUAUAAUAUUUUAAGCACAGAAUUUAUUUAACACUGCACUGGUUAUUUUCAGAAUUUAAUGCUUACUAUGCUUUUAAGCAGGCCUUAUGUAACAUUAGAGCAAAUCCAAUUGCAAUUUUUUUGAGAGCGCUCUGAGGAAUAGUUUAUAUAUUUAUUUUCUGCAGAUCUGUUUUGAUUUUACUGUUUAGCAGCUAUAUGACUAUAUUUCUAAAAUAAAGCUGUCAUUUACAUCCUUA